rnacentral:rRNA from 1 species
AGCGAACGCUGGCGGCAGGCCUAACACAUGCAAGUCGAACGGACCCUUCGGGGUUAGUGGCGGACGGGUGAGUAACACGUGGGAACGUGCCUUUAGGUUCGGAAUAGCUCCUGGAAACGGGUGGUAAUGCCGAAUGUGCCCUUCGGGGGAAAGAUUUAUCGCCUUUAGAGCGGACCGCGUCUGAUUAGCCAGUUGGUGGUGUAACGGACCACCAAGGCGACGAUCAGUAGCUGGUCUGAGAGGAUGAUCAGCCACAUUGGGACUGAGACACGGCCCAAACUCCUACGGUAGGCAUCAGUAGGGAAUCUUGCGCAAUGGGCGAAAGCCUGACGCAGCCAUGCCGCGUGAAUGAUGAAGGUCUUAGGAUUGUAAAAUUCUUUCACCGGGGACGAUAAUGACGGUACCCGGAGAAGAAGCCCCGGCUAACUUCGUGCAAGCAGCCGCCGUAAAAC